UACGUAGGGGGCAAGCGUUAAUCGGAAUUACUGGGCGUAAAGCGUGCGCAGGCGGUUUUGUAAGUCUGUCGUGAAAUCCCCGGGCUUAACCUGGGAAUUGCGAUGGAGACUGCAAGGCUAGAAUCUGGCAGAGGGGGGUAGAAUUCCACGUGUAGCAGUGAAAUGCGUAGAGAUGUGGAGGAACACCGAUGGCGAAGGCAGCCCCCUGGGUCAAGAUUGACGCUCAUGCACGAAAGCGUGGGGAGCAAACAGG
rnacentral:rRNA from 1 species